GACGAACGCUGGCGGCGUGCUUAACACAUGCAAGUCGAACGGAAAGGCCCUGCUUGUGUGGGGUGCUCGAGUGGCGAACGGGUGUGUAACACGUUAGUAACCUGCCCUUGACUUUGGGAUAACUUCAGGAAACUGGGGCUAAUACCGGAUAGGAGCUCCUGCUGAAUGGUGGGGGUUGGAAAGUUUCGGCGGUUGGGGAUGGACUCGCGGCUUAUCAGCUUGUUGGUGGGGUAGUGGCUUACCAAGGCUUUGACGGGUAGCCGGCCUGAGAGGGUGACCGGCCACAUUGGGACUGAGCUACGGCCCAGACUCCUACGGGAGGCAGCAGUGGGGAAUAUUGCACAAUGGGCGGAAGCCUGAUGCAGCAACGCCGCGUGCGGGAUGACGGCCUUCGGGUUGUAAACGGCUUUCGCCUGUGACGAAGCGUGAGUGACGGUAAUGGGUAGAGAAGCAACGGCUAAAUACGUG
rnacentral:rRNA from 1 species